AAUUUUAAGAGUUUGAUCCUGGCUCAGGAUGAACGCUGGCUGUGUGCCUAAUACAUGCAUGUCGAGCGAGGUUCUUUUGAACCUAGCGGCGAAUGGGUGAGUAACACGUGCUUAAUCUACCCUUUAGAUUGGAAUACCCAAUGGAAACAUUGGCUAAUGCCGGAUACGCAUGGAAUCGCAUGAUUCCGUUGUGAAAGGAGCCUUUAAAGCUCCGCUAGAGGAUGAGGGUGCGGAACAUUAGUUAGUUGGUAGGGUAAUGGCCUACCAAGACUAUGAUGUUUAGCCGGGUCGAGAGACUGAACGGCCACAUUGGGACUGAGAUACGGCCCAAACUCCUACGGGAGGCAGCAGUAGGGAAUAUUCCACAAUGAGCGAAAGCUUGAUGGAGCGACACAGCGUGCACGAUGAAGGUCUUCGGAUUGUAAAGUGCUGUUAUAGGGAAAGAACACCUGGUUGAGGAAAUGCUUCCAGGCUGACGGUACCCUGUCAGAAAGCGAUGGCUAACUAUGUGCCAGCAGCCGCGGUAAUACAUAGGUCGCAAGCGUUAUCCGGAAUUAUUGGGCGUAAAGCGUUCGUAGGCUGUUUAUUAAGUCUGGAGUCAAAUCCCAGGGCUCAACCCUGGCUCGCUUUGGAUACUGGUAAACUAGAGUUAGAUAGAGGUAAGCGGAAUUCCAUGUGAAGCGGUGAAAUGCGUAGAUAUAUGGAAGAACACCAAAGGCGAAGGCAGCUUACUGGGUCUAUACUGACGCUGAGGGACGAAAGCGUGGGGAGCAAACAGGAUUAGAUACCCUGGUAGUCCACGCCGUAAACGAUGAUCAUUAGUCGGUGGAGAGUUCACUGACGCAGCUAACGCAUUAAAUGAUCCGCCUGAGUAGUAUGCUCGCAA
rnacentral:ncRNA from 1 species